GUGGGGAAUUUUGGACAAUGGGGGCAACCCUGAUCCAGCCAUUCCGCGUGAGUGAAGAAGGCCUUCGGGUUGUAAAGCUCUUUCGGCAGGAACGAAACGGCGGGCUCUAACAUAGCCUGUCACUGACGGUACCUGAAGAAGAAGCACCGGCUAACUACGUGCCAGCAGCCGCGGUAAUACGUAGGGUGCGAGCGUUAAUCGGAAUUACUGGGCGUAAAGCGUGCGCAGGCGGCUUUAUAAGACAGAUGUGAAAUCCCCGGGCUUAACCUGGGAACUGCGUUUGUGACUGUAAAGCUAGAGUGUGGCAGAGGGGGGUGGAAUUCCACGUGUAGCAGUGAAAUGCGUAGAGAUGUGGAGGAACACCGAUGGCGAAGGCAGCCCCCUGGGUUGACACUGACGCUCAUGCACGAAAGCGUGGGGAGCAAACAGGAUUAGAAACCCUGGUAGUCC
rnacentral:rRNA from 1 species